GAAAUGCGAUACGUAAUGUGAAUUGCAGAAUUCAGUGAAUCAUCGAGUCUUUGAACGCACAUUGCGCCCCCUGGUAUUCCGGGGGGCAUGCCUGUCCGAGCGUCAUUGCUGCCCUCAAGCACGGCUUGUGUGUUGGGCCCCCGUCCCCCUCUUUUUGGGGGGGACGGGCCCGAAAGGCAGCGGCGGCACCGUGUCCGGUCCUCGAGCGUAUGGGAAGCAACUCUUUUUGUCACCCGCUCCUGUAGGUCCGGCCGGCGGCCUGCCCAACCCUCAAUCAAUCUUUUUAACCAGGUUGACCUCGGAUCAGGUAGGGAUACCCGCUGAACUUAA
rnacentral:misc_RNA from 1 species